UAUCUUUCUUUCUUUCUUUUU
rnacentral:sRNA from 1 species